UCUCCGUAGGUGAACCUGCGGAGGGAUCAUUAACACUGUAUCCAAUACAAACCAACUGUGAACUAUUAUGUCCCUAACGAGAAAAAGUGUUAGUUGAGGUUGCCGGUGAGAAAUCAGGUAGCAAUACUUGAUUUGGCUUCGACUAACUAGAGUUUUCGAAACUCAAACUUUGAUUGUUAGGCUUUUGACCUAUUCACCUGGUCUUUGAACCAAUCAAAAACCCAUUAUACGUUGCUUCAGCACUAACUAAUGUUUGUGUCGAGCGAAAGCUUGAUCAAAUUAUAUUACGAAAUACUGAACAACUCUUAACAAUGGAUAUCUUGGUUCUC
rnacentral:misc_RNA from 1 species